rnacentral:rRNA from 1 species
GUGCCAGCAGCCGCGGUAAUACGGAGGGUGCGAGCGUUAAUCGGAAUUAUUGGGCGUAAAGGGUGCGUAGGUGGUUUAUUAAGUUAGCUGUGAAAUUCCUGGGCUCAACCUGGGGUGGUCAGCUAAGACUGAUAGACUUGAGUAUAGGAGAGGGUAGUGGAAUUUCCGGUGUAGCGGUGAAAUGCGUAGAGAUCGGAAGGAACACCAGUGGCGAAGGCGGCUACCUGGCCUGAUACUGACACUGAGGCACGAAAGCGUGGGGAGCAAACAGGAUUAGAAACCCCUGUAGUCC